rnacentral:lncRNA from 1 species
AUUGUUUUGGAAUAAUUUGAAGGUUGUGAGAAAAGAUUGUGUGUUUAUGACAUAAUUUGCCAUUAUAAAAGCCCAAUCGCUACAGAGAGCCGACAAACGAUUGCUGCUGUUUCUUGAAGUACAUCGUGAUACACUAGUAAGUAAACGUAAGUUUUUGGUCUUACAGCUUUUGAUUCAUGAACAUCCAGCAAAAGUGUUUAGUAAGAAAACUGAUGAGAGAGAUACCAAAGAGACAUGAAAACUCAUAAGUCGAAAACAAAAAACAAACUGACAACGUCAUUGCAACAAAAAUGUUUGCUCACGUUUGUCAGUCGAAACUGUACUUGACAUGAAUGUAACAUUUUUUUUUUUAUUGCAUUUCGAGAUCUGGUGCUGUAUUUGUAUAUAAUGGAGUGUGACACCGCUUUGUCUGUUAUUCAAUAUAUUCUAACGUUUUUAAACAAUUCAGUGAAAAAGAACGGAUAGGGGGAAGUGGCACGAAUACAUAACCAAAUCUCUGAAAUAAUGGUGUUUUAUUUACUAUAGAGGCACUUAUUAUGAAAUUGCCGUCGGAUUUGCGAUACGAGCAUGUAUGUAUGCAACUUAAUUCGUGUAUAUACAAUAGCACAUUAUUGUUUUUACAGACUAAACAUGAAAUUGUUCGUAGUAGCUCUUUUGGUUCUUAUGGCAUAUGUGAGUUCUCUUCCACAAAAGAAAUUUCUUCUGGAUGGUAAGCUCAUAUCUAUAAUCAAUUUUAAUUGGAAACUUACUUUUUUUCUGAAUCAAAAUUGUUUGUUAAGACAAUAACUAUUAUCAAGCCCCCUUCAAAUAUAAUUGGUCGUUCAUUAGAACCAAACAAAUCCUAGGGCACAGCACAAGUCAAAGUAUAUAAAUUUUAACUACAACAUAAAACAAAAGACAGGUAAACACAAAUAACCAAUUUGAAAAUACUCCUGAUGAGGACAGGGCCAUUCAACAUGUGGUUGACAUAAACUAGAUUCAUAAAAUCAUAACCCUUCCAUAUAUAAGACAUAUAGACACAAACAAAAAAUCAUUCAUAUUUUUCUCCAAUCCACUAGGGAAAACUCAACAAGUCCAGCAUGCAUUUUAGAAUAAUGUUAACCAUUGAUGCACAUUCUUCUGUCAUCAAAAAGAUGGGUCUAAUGAUUUUGUUAAACAAUUGUUGUAUUGGUCUUUAUCUUAUAUAUUUAUUUAUGCGUUUACUUACGGAAGGACAAAUUUAAAGGUUGUGUUUGAUUUCUGUUCUGUGCAAAAAAGUGAAAUCACAAAAAUACUGAAUUCCGAGGAAAAUUCACAACGAAAAGUCAAAUGGCAAAUCAAAAGCUCAAACACAUCAAUCGAAUGUGACAAUUGACUGAAAGCAUUGAAUGAAUAAGAAUAAAUUUAACAUUUUAGUAAAUAUUAAAUACUCAAAUAUAAAGAUAAAGAACAAUACAAUGAUGCAUGAUAUUGUCAGCCCUUAAUUAUUCCUUAUUAUUUGCAGACAUAUAUCUACUUCCUGGUGACUGCGAGCAUAGUGACGCAUGUAGCCAUUGUGGAAAUAGCCACAUUCAUCGCAUUCAACAUGGAGGACUUGUUAUAGAAAUCUGUUGUCGCACAUGUGGAAAGCCCAAUGCCACAGUGCAUAUUGGCUUUCCACAUUCUGCCCUUGAAUGUCAAUGCCUGUAGAGCAUCAUACACGAUAUAUCUCUUUUUUUCUCAAUAAAACUAAUAAUGAAAAUAUAGUACAUGUAGCACCAUGUAUAACGUCUGCCUAACUAGGUAUAUACAAAAACAUAGGUCUUUUUGGAAUCAUGUCUUUCAUCGG